ACGGCUCAGUAACACGUAGUCAACAUGCCCAGGGGACGUGGAUAACCUCGGGAAACUGAGGAUAAACCGCGAUAGGCCAAGAUUUCUGGAAUGGAUCAUGGCUGAAAUCUACAUGGCCCCUGGAUUGGACUGCGGCCGAUCAGGCUGUUGGUGAGGUAAUGGCCCACCAAACCUGUAACCGGUACGGGCUCUGAGAGGAGGAGCCCGGAGAUGGGCACUGAGACAAGGGCCCAGGCCCUAUGGGGCGCAGCAGGCGCGAAACCUCUGCAAUAGGCGAAAGCUUGACAGGGUUACUCUGAGUGAUGUCCGUUAAGGGCAUCUUUUGGCACUUCUAAAAAUAGUGUAGAAUAAGGGGUGGGCAAGUCUGGUGUCAGCCGCCGCGGUAAUACCAGCACCCCGAGUGGUCGGGACGAUUAUUGGGCCUAAAGCAUCCGUAGCCGGUUCUGCAAGUCUUCCGUUAAAUCCACCUGCUCAACAGAUGGGCUGCGGGGGAUACUACAGGGCUAGGAGGCGGGAGAGGCAAGCGGUACUCGGUGGGUAGGGGUAAAAUCCUCUGAUCCACCGAAGACCACCAGUGGCGAAGGCGGCUUGCCAGAACGCGCUCGACGGUGAGGGAUGAAAGCUGGGGGAGCAAACCGGAUUAGAUACCCGGGUAGUCCCAGCUGUAAACGAUGAAUCGGGGGUAUAGUGGUGUGGCCCUUGGAGCAACCCAGGUGCGGCAGGGGAAGCCGUUAAGUCUGCCGCCUGGGGAGUACGGUCGCAAGACUGAAACUUAGGGGAAUUGGCGGGGGAG
rnacentral:rRNA from 1 species